GCAAUGCCGCGUGUGUGAAGAAGGCCUCUCGGGUUGUAAAGCACUUUUGUCCGGAAAGAAAUCCUUGGCUCUAAUACAGUCGGGGGAUGACGGUACCGGAAGAAUAAGCACCGGCUAACUACGUGCCAGCAGCCGCGGUAAUACGUAGGGUGCGAGCGUUAAUCGGAAUUACUGGGCGUAAAGCGUGCGCAGGCGGUUUGCUAAGACCGAUGUGAAAUCCCCGGGCUCAACCUGGGAACUGCAUUGGUGACUGGCAGGCUAGAGUAUGGCAGAGGGGGGUAGAAUUCCACGUGUAGCAGUGAAAUGCGUAGAGAUGUGGAGGAAUACCGAUGGCGAAGGCAGCCCCCUGGGCCAAUACUGACGCUCAUGCACGAAAGCGUGGGGAGCAAACAGGAUUAGAUACCCUGGUAGUCCACGCCCUAAACGAUGUCAACUAGUUGUUGGGGAUUCAUUUCCUUAGUAACGUAGCUAACGCGUGAAGUUGACCGCCUGGGGAGUACGGUCGCAAGAUUAAAACUCAAAGGAAUUGACGGGGACCCGCACAAGCGGUGGAUGAUGUGGAUUAAUUCGAUGCAACGCGAAAAACCUUACCUACCCUUGACAUGGUCGGAAU
rnacentral:rRNA from 1 species